rnacentral:lncRNA from 1 species
AUAGAUGGGUGAAUGAAUCCUCAAAGUAUGACUUGUAUUUUUUCCUUUUUAAAAAGCCAGUAUUUUAUUAUAUCAAUACUGAAUGAUUGUGUUCCUUUGAGAGUAAGAAACCCAGAAUUUUUCCAAGAAGGUGGAGAUGCUUUUAAUGUAUCUUUGCUGAUUGUUGCCCCAUCCUCAUCUCUGCAUGAGGAAUAAUUGUGUCAUCCUUUUGGAGCACAUUUUCCUCCGGCCUUUCAUUUGUAUUUAUGUAUACAUCCACACAGAGAACCGCCGACUUGUGAGCAGACUGCCUUGCUGUAUGUUUUCCACAAAGCAGUCUGCCGAGCCUGCUGACAUAUAGAAGUCCCCUUUCCCCCUUUCUUUAGCUAAUACAAACUAUUAUCAUGCUAACUGGAUUUGCCACCUCUCAUCUGAACCAAAUGAAAUUGUGUGUGGUAUACAUGUAUAUGUGUUUGGUGUAUGGAGACACCAGAUGCUAAUCACGGAUGCUAUUUUUCAAGCACUGUUGAUCUUAUUGUUUUUGUGACAGGUUUCCCAUUGGCUUGGAAUUUGUCAAUUAGUUUUGCUGGCUGGACAGAAAGCCACACGGAUCCUCUUGUCUUGGUCUCCUGACAUUUGGAUUAAAGUCACCUGGAGGUGCAGGCCAUCGCUAUGUUAAACCUAUGAGGUGAUGAUAAACCACACAA